CCGCUGCUUCACUGAAUGAACCUGGGGGGUUCAGGAGGCAGCCAAAAAGCCAGAGAACUUUUCAGUGACGCUACAGCACCGUCCUGUUACGGGGAAGUCAGAGUUGAGACGGGCAGACCAGAUCCAAAGCAAAGCAGGUGAAAUUCUUUGCUGUAUCUAAAUGGAAGAUGUUUUUCUUCGAUGUAUCUAAAUGUGCACGAAAACGCUCAGACAAAUUCAUUGGCAAAAAGGCAAGAAAGGAGAAAAGAAUCAGGUCAACAAGUAACAUGAAUGAUUUGAAAAGUGCUUUUGGUGGGCAAGAGGGGGGCAAUAAACUACAGAUCGAUUUAGGAGAGGCUGUCUGCCCAGGAGGCCAGGCAGCCCUUUUUUCUGGAGCGGGAUAGGUAGGGAGGUGCAAGGGGAAAGUCUGAGAAUCUUCUUUACUGGAAGAGCACAAUUUAAAAACCCUCAGAAAAGGCCACUCAAAAUGCUCGGACUGCCUGGAAUUACACGCCGUGAGCUGCGGGUUGCACGAAUGCCCUUGGCCUCCAGCGCCUCCCUGCUAAGGACGCGGCGCUGGUGGUGGAGAGGCUGGAAGUACCACGGCACUACCCCCCCGAGCAACACACGAGGGCAACUCGCCCCUAACGGACCGACAAAAACGCACUGCCUCCCCUGGGGCUUGCAGGGAUCAGCUCACCACGAAACGUGGGGCAGCGAAGCAGACGCUCCCGGGCACAGCCGCGUCCCUCGUCCCCCUCCGAAAGCGCCAGCCGCGGCGCUUCUUUACGGAGCUGCUGCGAACCUAAAUUCCUGUAAACACGUGAGCAGGUGUCUGCUCCCGGAGAACAGCUCCCGAACAACUGCCUCCUUUCUGCCUGGAGAGAUUUUUUAACUGUUUAUAGUUCCUUUGAUCUGCUCCUUCUCAACACUGGCAAAGCAAACUGGAGCUGCGGAGGCAGGAGCUUCCCAGCGAACGGCGUAUCUUAAUCCCCCCUCGAGGCUUCCUCCCAGAGUCACUUUACGCACAGCCACGCUGCUUGCUACUAAACCAACCCCACAGCAGCCCUACAGCCAACAUCCCGACCCUGGGAAAUGCACCUUGUCCAUCCGCUGCAGGAGAGCGCGCCCCACGUGGGGGACGGAGGCCGAGGAAGAGAGGGAAGGAGAAAGCCAGGCUCAAGCUGCCUAACUUGAGGCACCUCGGACGGCCGGGCUGGGAGCUGAGGCUCUCGCCUCCCCGUGCCGCCCUGGGACCAGAGCUCCCCUGCUCCUUGCGUACGGCGGAGGGGCACCUCGAGUUAGCCUGGGCAGAUUUCCUCUUCUCCCUCCCACAAGUUUAUUUAUUUAUUUAUUUAUUUUUAUUUUUUCCUUUGGUUUCUCCCUUUCUGUCUCUGAGACUGCAAGCUGCUCUCCUCUUCGCCCAGCCCUGGAGAAAUGAACCAAGUUGUAGCAAUAGUGUCUGGAAAUGGGGACAUUUCUCUCAAGACCGUAAUGUUUUUUUGCAAACUGACUGGAGGCACAAAGCUCAUGUCCUGAAUGAGGGGCAAGGAAGGGAGGCAGUGAGAGACGGGAGGAGGAAUUAGUACUACGGACAUACUGGAGGAUUCAUCCGAGCCAACACAACGGUGCUACAGACUUCUUUUCUCACCCUUCUCAAGUAAAGGCUCCCCACUCUGGUGCUUCUACAGUAAUUAAACAAGCAUCAAAUGACAAGAUAACAAACCGAUAAACCUCAGUCUCUACCCUGACCGAGAGCAGAAACUUUCCUAGUUAGCUAUGGCCCCUCAGCGAAAAUCCAGAAUAAGCAAAUACUGGUCUUUGCUUCCUCCUUCCUUUGCGGGGAGGGGGGAAGCGGAGAGGAACAACCAUGUGAUACGGCCUCAAGGCCAGGGCUUUCUAGAAAGAAAGGCCAAGUGAAACAGCUGUUCCUCAAGAGUUUGCCUGACUACACAAACAUGGUCACACCAAGCAGCGAGCAGCUGAUGGGGUUCCUUAAAAUCACACGUUACGGCUGCCUCUCCACUCCUCAAAGAGGCAGAAGGGCUGCCGCAACUUGAGAAGAAGGAAGUGCGACCGCUGCAGCUGGAGCACGAGAGCAGGGAAGUGGCACAGCAAUAGAGACGGGGCCACGGGGUUUGCGCUGACUGAACUUCUGCCUCUCCGCUCCUCAAAAAGCCCCGGGCCCCUGGCCGUCCAGAGCCGCCCAGCUGCGCGUCAGGCAAACAAAUCACCGCAGCCCUCUUGCGAGGAGGUGGAGACGUGAGCGGGUGGCACCACGUAUCAGCUGGAAAAACUAACACCAGCGAAAACCCAGAAAAAAAGACCCACAGAAACAGGACAACCCUGAAAAAGGCAGAAGUUCCUUUAAAAAUAUUUUUAUAGCUUACACCUUCCUGCAGAUGACUCCCUGCUCUCGCCCGGGCUGACUCACCCUGCGAACCGCCUCAUGCCUGCCAACUCCCGGCUAAACUUGAGUAUCUGGUGACCAAAACGAAGGCGCCAAAGCCCAAAAUGCUGCAAGGUAACAAGGUUUUCUUUGUCCGGCACCUCCAAGCGUGCCAGCGGUUCCCUUCCUCUAGCUCUCGCGUAGCCUCGGGGUCUCUAUUCGCUACGUUUCCAGCUUUCGGGAUGUGUAAGAACCUGGCAGAAUGGGUCUUUGCCGCCGUAAUAAACCAAACAGAAACCGUACCGUGGCCCCCUUCCCACACCAAACCAUGCCCUCCUCCUCGCUCUCGUUAACUCUCACCUUCGCCUUGCUCUUUAGCCGGGGCCGAGCAUCACUGGAAAGAAGCUUGCAAUAUUUCAUAUAUAGGGUACUACCAGGGGACAGGGGGCAAGCACAUUUUUCAUGUGGAUCUGUAUUUCAGUUCUUUGUUCCUCUGGAUAGAAAAUGUUGCUGUCAUCAGUGUAAACAACUUGCAAGUGCUGAAGACACAAUUUUGCUAUAGAUAAGUGUUAGCACAAAAAAACCCAUUCUAACACCAGCUCUUACAGCGGUCUCGCUGCUGUUCUGCGCUCUCAUCGUCUGCCUUUCAAGCUACAUACAACAGUGGAAAAACUGCCAAGCAAAUAAGGUAUUACUUAUUUCCCUUGCUCUUCUCUCCCCAAAUCACUAGCCCAAUUACUAUCUAUAAGGUGACGAUAUAACUUAAAUAUUUCUCCUGUCCUCACCUAAAAAACAUUUCACUUUACAUUUUAGGAGUCAGGAACAAAACAAACAUACGAGCUAAUGUAAUUAACUCGGUGCAUUACUCGGUGAUGAUAAACACUAUACACCCACCUAGACGUUUUACUUGAUGUGGUUGGAAACUGCUAGCCCGGAUUAGAGCCCAGAGCUGCGGAGCGGUGCGAGCGCUGCCCGCCUCCCGCCGGGCACGGCCCUCACGGUGCUUCCCGCUGCCGCGAGCCCAGACCUUGAAAUCAACGCCAGCGGAGGAGGACUCCACGCAACACGUGCUUCGUACUGUGGGCUAGUAAGGCAGCGGUGAGGCUACUGCGCCCUUUCACUGGCGGUCCCGGGAAAGGAGCCUCACGCUGCCUUUUUUCCGACUGCGAAAAAUCAGCGUUGCUCUACUGCUUCUGGCAGGAUGGACAAGGCUGGCACCGAGCUCUCAGGUGUAGGGGCUGGGCUUUUGCCAGAAAAUGUCAGCCUGGAUAGAUGGUGAAAAUGUUACUGAACCACUGCAGUCUGUAGGGUUUUUUGUUUUGUUUCGUUUCCUUUUUUUUUUGCCAGAUAAUCCAUUGGCUCAACCUGAUACCAUGCUCCUUACGUUUAGUGCCACAGAGGAGUAUUUUGGUGACUGGCACUGUGAAAUAAUAAUUCACACAUCACAAUAUGAGUAUCUAUAAGCUCAUGAUCGUAGUAAGGGAGAUCACAAGUUUGUAGCUCACUCUGUAGUAUUCCACUGCCCCAUCAACUGAGAAAUGAAAGCAUCUUCCCUGGUGCUCACGGUACUGCCACCAGUUCCUUUCACUAGAGACAAACGGAAGUGGUGUAAAAAGUGACACAGGAGUAGGUAAAAUGAUAUGAAAAUCACAGGUCAUGCCUACUACCCUUCUCUAUUUUUCCUCAGUGUUCUUAGAGAGUUACGUAAAGCACUGAAAGAAAGGUUAGAAAGAAGUUGUAGGAAUAAAGGAGUAGAGAGACUGUUCUGAUGUUGCACUCAUUGGCACUGUAUCAAGCCUCUUAGCUGAAUUAUAGCCUUGGCUUGAAAACCAGAACAUGUACUAUCUGUUGUAUAUUACUUUACAAAUCAAAAUCAUCCACACCAAUGACUGCUUAAGAUUUCACUCCUAUGUACUUCCUACUGCCCGGAAU